rnacentral:rRNA from 1 species
GUGAACGCUGGCGGUAGGCCUAACCCAUGCAAGUCGAACGGCAGCACAGUAAGAGCUUGCUCUUACGGGUGGCGAGUGGCGGACGGGUGAGGAAUACAUCGGAAUCUACUUUUUCGUGGGGGAUAACGUAGGGAAACUUACGCUAAUACCGCAUACGACCUACGGGUGAAAGCAGGGGAUCUUCGGACCUUGCGCGAAUGAAUGAGCCGAUGUCGGAUUAGCUAGUUGGCGGGGUAAAGGCCCACCAAGGCGACGAUCCGUAGCUGGUCUGAGAGGAUGAUCAGCCACACUGGAACUGAGACACGGUCCAGACUCCUACGGGAGGCAGCAGUGGGGAAUAUUGGACAAUGGGCGCAAGCCUGAUCCAGCCAUACCGCGUGGGUGAAGAAGGCCUUCGGGUUGUAAAGCCCUUUUGUUGGGAAAGAAAAGCAGCAGGUUAAUACCCCGCUGUUCUGACGGUACCCAAAGAAUAAGCACCGGCUAACUUCGUG